AUAGUCUUGCAACACCAGCUCUUCUCUCUCGGUGAAGUCCAUAAAGUAGCUUGUAAAAGCAAAUGCAAUUGGGUGGGAUAAAGAGUUGUAGUCCUCGUCCCCGUAUCCGUAUUCUGGUGCCAUGUGCACCUUGCCACUCGCCCCAUCGUGUGCCCCGCAGGGCUAUGUAUAGUCUUGCAACACCAGCUUUCCUGUCUCGAUGAAGUCCAGCAAAAUAGCUUCUAAAAGCAAAUGGAAUUGGCUGGGCCAAGAGGUUGUAGUCGUCGUCCGCGUAUCCGUGCUCCGGCGCUAUUUUCACCUGGCAAACCAACCCGCCG